GACGAACGCUGGCGGCGUGCUUAACACAUGCAAGUCGAACGGAAAGGCCCUGCUUUUGUGGGGUGCUCGAGUGGCGAACGGGUGAGUAACACGUGAGUAACCUGCCCUUGACUUUGGGAUAACUUCAGGAAACUGGGGCUAAUACCGGAUAGGAGCUCCUGCUGCAUGGUGGGGGUUGGAAAGUUUCGGCGGUUGGGGAUGGACUCGCGGCUUAUCAGCUUGUUGGUGGGGUAGUGGCUUACCAAGGGGAUGACGGGUAGCCGGCCUGAGAGGGUGACCGGCCACACUGGAACGGAGACAGGGUCCAGACGCCUACGGGAGGCAGCAGUGGGGAAUAUUGGACAAUGGGCGGAAGCCUGGUCCAGCCAUACCGCGUGGGUGAAGAAGGCCUUCGGGUUGGAAAGCCGUUUUGUGGGGAAAGAAAAGCAGCAGGUUAAUACCCCGCUGUUCUGACGGUACCCAAAGAAGAAGCACCGGCUAACUUCGUG
rnacentral:rRNA from 1 species